rnacentral:rRNA from 1 species
UUGGAGGGCAAGUCUGGUGCCAGCAGCCGCGGUAAUUCCAGCUCCAAUAGCGUAUAUUAAAGUUGUUGCAGUUAAAAAGCUCGUAGUUGAAUUUCGGGGUCAGUAGGUUGGUCAUGCCACUGGUAUGUACUGGUCUCACUGAUUCCUCCUUCCUGAUGAGCCGUAAUGCCAUUAAUUUGGUGUUGCGAGGAAUCUGGACUGUUACUUUGAAAAAAUUAGAGUGUUUAAAGCAGGCUAACGCCUGAAUACAUUAGCAUGGAAUAAUGAAAUAGGACAUCCGAUUCUAUUUUGUUGGUUUCUAGGAUCGAUGUAAUGAUUAAUAGGGAUAGUUGGGGGCAUUAGUAUUCAAUUGUCAGAGGUGAAAUUCUUGGAUUUAUUGAAGACUAACUACUGCGAAAGCAUUUGCCAAGGAUGUUUUCAUUAAUCAAGAACGAAAGUUAGGGGAUCGAAGACGAUCAGAUACCGUCGUAGUCUUAACCAUAAACUAUGCCGACUAGGGAUCGGAUGAUGUUAAUUUUUUAAUGACUCAUUCGGCGCCUUACGGGAAACCAAAGUGUUUGGGUUC